rnacentral:sRNA from 1 species
CCGUGGCUUUGGCUCAAG